GGUGCGUCGUGGAGUUCGGCAGGCCGGCCUGCUGGGCCAGCUCCGUCAGGGCCACGCUGCCGUGCGACUCGGCUAUCCACUCC
rnacentral:tRNA from 1 species